GGGUUGUGAGGUUAAGCGACUAAGCGUACACGGUGGAUGCCCUGGCAGUCAGAGGCGAUGAAGGGCGUGCUAAUCUGCGAUAAGCGCCGGUAAGGUGAUAUGAACCGUUAUAACCGGCGAUACCCGAAUGGGGAAACCCAGUGUGACUCGUCACACUAUCAUUAACUGAAUCCAUAGGUUAAUGAGGCGAACCGGGGGAACUGAAACAUCUAAGUACCCCGAGGAAAAGAAAUCAACCGAGAUUCCCCCAGUAGCGGCGAGCGAACGGGGAGGAGCCCAGAGCCUGAAUCAGCAUGUGUGUUAGUGGAAGCGUCUGGAAAGGCGCGCGAUACAGGGUGACAGCCCCGUACACAAAAGCGCAUGUGCUGUGAGCUCGAUGAGUAGGGCGGGACACGUGGUAUCCUGUCUGAAUAUGGGGGGACCAUCCUCCAAGGCUAAAUACUCCUGACUGACCGAUAGUGAACCAGUACCGUGAGGGAAAGGCGAAAAGAACCCCGGCGAGGGGAGUGAAAAAGAACCUGAAACCGUGUACGUACAAGCAGUGGGAGCACAGGUUUACCUGUGUGACUGCGUACCUUUUGUAUAAUGGGUCAGCGACUUAUAUUCUGUAGCAAGGUUAACCGAAUAGGGGAGCCGCAGGGAAACCGAGUCUUAACCGGGCGUUAAGUUGCAGGGUAUAGACCCGAAACCCGGUGAUCUAGCCAUGGGCAGGUUGAAGGUUGGGUAACACUAACUGGAGGACCGAACCGACUAAUGUUGAAAAAUUAGCGGAUGACCUGUGGCUGGGGGUGAAAGGCCAAUCAAACCGGGAGAUAGCUGGUUCUCCCCGAAAGCUAUUUAGGUAGCGCCUCGUGAAUUCAUCUCCGGGGGUAGAGCACUGUUUCGGCUAGGGGGCCAUCCCGGCUUACCAACCCGAUGCAAACUGCGAAUACCGGAGAAUGUUAUCACGGGAGACACACGGCGGGUGCUAACGUCCGUCGUGAAGAGGGAAACAACCCAGACCGCCAGCUAAGGUCCCAAAGUCAUGGUUAAGUGGGAAACGAUGUGGGAAGGCCCAGACAGCCAGGAUGUUGGCUUAGAAGCAGCCAUCAUUUAAAGAAAGCGUAAUAGCUCACUGGUCGAGUCGGCCUGCGCGGAAGAUGUAACGGGGCUAAACCAUGCACCGAAGCUGCGGCAGCGACACUAUGUGUUGUUGGGUAGGGGAGCGUUCUGUAAGCCUGUGAAGGUGUGUCGUGAGGCAUGCUGGAGGUAUCAGAAGUGCGAAUGCUGACAUAAGUAACGAUAAAGCGGGUGAAAAGCCCGCUCGCCGGAAGACCAAGGGUUCCUGUCCAACGUUAAUCGGGGCAGGGUGAGUCGACCCCUAAGGCGAGGCCGAAAGGCGUAGUCGAUGGGAAACGGGUUAAUAUUCCCGUACUUGGUGUUACUGCGAAGGGGGGACGGAGAAGGCUAUGUUGGCCGGGCGACGGUUGUCCCGGUUUAAGCGUGUAGGUGUGUGUUCCAGGUAAAUCCGGUUCACUUUAACACUGAGGCGUGACGACGAGGCACUACGGUGCUGAAGCAACAAAUGCCCUGCUUCCAGGAAAAGCCUCUAAGCAUCAGGUAACAUCAAAUCGUACCCCAAACCGACACAGGUGGUCAGGUAGAGAAUACCAAGGCGCUUGAGAGAACUCGGGUGAAGGAACUAGGCAAAAUGGUGCCGUAACUUCGGGAGAAGGCACGCUGACACGUAGGUGAAGUGAUUUACUCACGGAGCUGAAGUCAGUCGAAGAUACCAGCUGGCUGCAACUGUUUAUUAAAAACACAGCACUGUGCAAACACGAAAGUGGACGUAUACGGUGUGACGCCUGCCCGGUGCCGGAAGGUUAAUUGAUGGGGUCAGCGCAAGCGAAGCUCCUGAUCGAAGCCCCGGUAAACGGCGGCCGUAACUAUAACGGUCCUAAGGUAGCGAAAUUCCUUGUCGGGUAAGUUCCGACCUGCACGAAUGGCGUAAUGAUGGCCAGGCUGUCUCCACCCGAGACUCAGUGAAAUUGAACUCGCUGUGAAGAUGCAGUGUACCCGCGGCAAGACGGAAAGACCCCGUGAACCUUUACUAUAGCUUGACACUGAACAUUGAGCCUUGAUGUGUAGGAUAGGUGGGAGGCUUUGAAGCGUGGACGCCAGUCUGCGUGGAGCCGACCUUGAAAUACCACCCUUUAAUGUUUGAUGUUCUAACGUGGACCCGUGAUCCGGGUUGCGGACAGUGUCUGGUGGGUAGUUUGACUGGGGCGGUCUCCUCCUAAAGAGUAACGGAGGAGCACGAAGGUUGGCUAAUCCUGGUCGGACAUCAGGAGGUUAGUGCAAUGGCAUAAGCCAGCUUGACUGCGAGCGUGACGGCGCGAGCAGGUGCGAAAGCAGGUCAUAGUGAUCCGGUGGUUCUGAAUGGAAGGGCCAUCGCUCAACGGAUAAAAGGUACUCCGGGGAUAACAGGCUGAUACCGCCCAAGAGUUCAUAUCGACGGCGGUGUUUGGCACCUCGAUGUCGGCUCAUCACAUCCUGGGGCUGAAGUAGGUCCCAAGGGUAUGGCUGUUCGCCAUUUAAAGUGGUACGCGAGCUGGGUUUAGAACGUCGUGAGACAGUUCGGUCCCUAUCUGCCGUGGGCGCUGGAGAACUGAGGGGGGCUGCUCCUAGUACGAGAGGACCGGAGUGGACGCAUCACUGGUGUUCGGGUUGUCAUGCCAAUGGCACUGCCCGGUAGCUAAAUGCGGAAGAGAUAAGUGCUGAAAGCAUCUAAGCACGAAACUUGCCCCGAGAUGAGUUCUCCCUGAGACUUUAAGUCUCCUGAAGGAACGUUGAAGACGACGACGUUGAUAGGCCGGGUGUGUAAGCGCAGCGAUGCGUUGAGCUAACCGGUACUAAUGAACCGUGAGGCUUAACCUUACAACGCCGAAG
rnacentral:rRNA from 1 species